AGGAAACUGUUACGUUGGUAGACCUCAGCAAGCUGCCACCUGGUAUUCACUCUUGUGUGGUCCGGUAAUCCCCUCACCUUGAUUCUAGAAUGAUGCUACGGCCAGCUUUAAUCAACAAGACGUGGUGAAAGUGACACCAUGCUAAUUCCAGUCCCCACUUAGAAACUAGGCAGGUUUUGCACUCUGGUGAUUCCUGUGACACCUUAUAGGAAAUUCAGCUAAUUCAGCCAUGCUGCUGCAAAAAUAAAGUAAAAUAACAGAGAGAGGCCAUGUGGAAAGGGAGAGUCCCUGAGAUUACUCAGAGAGCAGCCAAGAUGUCCCAGCUGAGCUCAUUCUCCAAUCUGUUCACUGGCUGGAUGCAGCACACAAGCAACCAUUAGCAAGACCAGCAGAAGAACCACCCAGCUAAUCACAGCCAGAGUGCAGAAUGGUGAGCAAACAAAACAGUUUUUAUGAGUCAAUCACUUCUAUAAUGCUCUAUUAUAAAACGGUAGGAACCAGGAACACCUGGUCUGUGUGCUUGGCUCUUAUUUCCCUAGGAUAAAUAUCUGCCCCAGUUUGCUUAGGAAUUAAAAAAUUUCCAAGACACAGGACUUUUAGUACUAACAUUGGGAAGGCUCUGAGCAAAUUCAGUUGAGUCCUACUUCCAACACUCUAAGUAAACAGAAUUUUACUUCUGAAAGAUACUUUUUUUUUUUUAAUUCACCGUUUAGUCAACAUUCAAUGAAAAACGUUAUGCUCAAAAACCAGUAAUUUGAGUGACCUCCCUCAAACAGGGGCCUUUGGGGCUGUGAUGGUUAUAAUACUGAGUGUCAACUCGAUUGGAUUGAACGAUACAAAGUUUUUAUCCUGGGUGUGUCUAUGAGGGUGUUGCCAAAGGAGAUUAACAUUUGAGUCAGUGGGCUCAGAAAAGCAGACCCAUCCUUAAUCCAGGUGGACACAGUCUAAUCAGCUGUCAGUGUGACUAGAAUAUAAAGCAGGCAGGAAAAUGUACAAAGAGAGACUGGCCUAGCCUCCCAGCCUACAUCUUUCUCCCGUGCUGGGUACUUCCUGCCCUUGAACAUUGGACUCCAAGGUCUUCAGUUUUGGAACUCAGACUGGCUCUCUUUGCUUCUCAGCCUGCAGAUUGCCUAUUGUGGGACCUGUGAUCAUCUACUCGGGAGGCUGAAGCACAAGAAUUGCUUGAACCCAGGAAGCGGAGGCUGGGUUCAACCCAGGAGCUGAGAUCAUGCCAUUGCACUUCAGCCUGGGCAACAGAGCGAAACUCUGUCUCAGGAAAAUAAAAUAAAUAUUUAAAAAUGAAUAUUGUAUGAAUAUAUGAUGAUUUAUUUCAUCUUCUGUUGAUGAACUUUUAGACUUGUUUCCAGGUGAGGCAUUUACAAAC
rnacentral:lncRNA from 1 species